rnacentral:rRNA from 1 species
CCUACGGGAGGCUGCAGUGAGGAAUAUUGGUCAAUGGACGAGAGUCUGAACCAGCCAAGUAGCGUGAAGGAUGACUGCCCUAUGGGUUGUAAACUUCUUUUAUAUGGGAAUAAAACGUUCCACGUGUGGGAUUUUGUAUGUACCAUAUGAAUAAGGAUCGGCUAACUCCGUGCCAGCAGCCGCGGUAAUACGGAGGAUCCGAGCGUUAUCCGGUUUUAUUGGGUUUAAAGGGAGCGUAGGUGGAUUGUUAAGUCAGUUGUGAAAGUUUGCGGCUCAACCGUAAAAUUGCAGUUGAAACUGGCAGUCUUGAGUACAGUAGAGGUGGGCGGAAUUCGUGGUGUAGCGGUGAAAUGCUUAGAUAUCACGAAGAACUCCGAUUGCGAAGGCAGUUCACUGGACUGCAACUGACACUGAGGCUCGAAAGUGUGGGUAUCAAACAGGAUUAGAUACCCCUGUAGUC